AGCGAACGCUGGCGGCAGGCCUAACACAUGCAAGUCGAACGGAUCCUUCGGGAUUAGUGGCGGACGGGUGAGUAACACGUGGGAACGUGCCCUUUGGUUCGGAACAACUCAGGGAAACUUGAGCUAAUACCGGAUGUGCCCUUCGGGGGAAAGAUUUAUCGCCAUUGGAGCGGCCCGCGUCUGAUUAGCUAGUUGGUGAGGUAAAGGCUCACCAAGGCGACGAUCAGUAGCUGGUCUGAGAGGAUGAUCAGCCACAUUGGGACUGAGACACGGCCCAAACUCCUACGGGAGGCAGCAGUGGGGAAUCUUGCGCAAUGGGCGAAAGCCUGACGCAGCCAUGCCGCGUGAAUGAUGAAGGUCUUAGGAUUGUAAAGCUCUUUCACCGGUGAAGAUAAUGACGGUAACCGGAGAAGAAGCCCCGGCUAACUUCGUGCCAGCCGCCGCGGUAAAAC
rnacentral:rRNA from 1 species